GUACAACGAAGAUCAGGUAGUUUGUCAAAAAAUGGAUAGAAACGUUGACGAAUAGAUGCACGAACACCCGGAUUAAAAACACGUACAGAUUACUAAGGCAACUGUGGCUGUGGGGUACCACAUAUCCUAUUCCCAUAAUUGAUGAAUCAACCUAGCGAAGAAAAAGGAAGAAAAAAGGAGAACCUGAGGGGACUUGGACGGUAGCUGAUUUGACGUGGAAUGUUCUUAAGAUUAAUUUAGACAGAGACCACGUGGCCGAUUGAUCUAAGAGGAAAAUUUCUAGUGGCAGCAGCGAUCCACGUGCUAACUGCUUACAUUUCGGCCACGAAGGGAACACUUGCAGCAUGCUUCCUUAAAUAUAGGCUAUUUAACCUUGCCUGCACAUCGAACAUAUUAUAACCGUACCAUUUAGUAGGACAAAAUUAUAAGAUAAUCUCAUUCACUCUACUAACGUAUAGCAGAACCUCAUCUGAAACUAAUAAGGAGAUACAUAAUUCUUGAAUUAGGCCGAACAUAUUAGAAGUACUCUGUAUGUGUAUAAAAUAAAGUAAUGGAUAGGUGGAUGAGGACUAGCGAGAAAGAUGUUGCGGAUGUCCCUCUGGUGGCAAGUACUGGUAGUAUCACCACACAGAAAAUAAGUUCAACGAAUGUGUAUCCUGUUCUCGACAAAUUGAUAAAUAAUCAAUCUCAUCAAGCUACAUGCUUCAUACUUUUACACUUGACAAAUUUAUCAACAUCAUCACACUGCUUUAUCUGGAUGAAUU